rnacentral:snoRNA from 1 species
GUGCACAUGAUGAAAAAAAUAGUAUGAAUUCCAUGAUUUCUCUCUCAAAAGUAAACGCUUACUGAUGCA